rnacentral:rRNA from 1 species
CCCUUAGAUGUCCGGGGCCGCACGCGCGCUACACUGAUGCAUUCAACGAGUUUCUUCCUGGUCCGAGAGGAAUGGGUAACCUUUUGAAAGUGCAUCGUGAUAGGGAUAGACUAUUGCAAUUAUUGGUCUUCAACGAGGAAUUCCUAGUAGACGUAGUUCAUCAGACUGCAUCGAUUACGUCCCUGCCCUUUGUACACACCGCCCGUCGCUCCUACCGAUUGAAUGCUCAGGUGAGCCAUUCGGACUUUCAUCAUGCUGGUUUCCAGUUUUGAUGAAGGAAAGUCUUGCGAACCUUAUCGUUUAGAGGAGGGAGAAGUCGUAACA